rnacentral:pre_miRNA from 1 species
GUUUUAGUCUGAAUAUGUCCCAUGCAAUAUUUGGGACAUACUUAGACUAGAA